rnacentral:lncRNA from 1 species
GACGCUUCCACACUAUGGUCUGGUCUCCUUGCGGCAAUAUUGCGUCAAAAUAGGCUCGGUGUGAUACAUGGCACAGACGAAUUGCUCUUGGGGAGCGACAUUGCUUAGAUGUACCUCUUUUGUUUAGGCGACUGUAUUUUUCGGCAAAAAAUGAGGGUAGUGGAGGGCAAGAGAAUAGCCAUCAGGAAAAACUGGAAAGCCAUAGGGAGACUAAACCAUAGUAGUUUUCUCUACUGGGUGAUGCUAGUGUGGAUACCAAGUGUAAAUUUGAGUUAUUCCGUUCCUUUUUCUUUAAAAAAAGUCUAGUUUAAUUAUCCCCUUCCCCUUGUUAUAAAAGAGGGAUGCCAAGAUUCGGCACCUUAAAAAAAAAAGGAGGGGAAAUGGAAAUCUUUCUGUUGGUAUCUCGUUUUGCUGACAUCACAACGUGUUUGGCGUUCAAGUCCACUGCCGGGCAAAACUCAAAUAAUUUUUUUUCCUUGCUAGCAGCUGCACAGUUAGUUUGCCUUUACAUUACUAAAGGAACAAUAAAAUGAAAGGCAAAACCGGCAUCUAAAACAUGGCCAAUGAAAGGAAGUUGGAAUGGGAGCCAAGAAUCCUGCUGUGGUGGAAGGAGGAUAGACUCCAUGAAUCCACCACAAUCCGGGAUUUCGCUUCUUUUUAACAAUCCCAUCUGCAGAGAGAAAUAAUGACUCCUGAAUCAUUUCAGAGUCAAAAAGUUAAAGCGGGGGCUGGAUGGUGCUACGCGGGUCCAGCUAUGGGCGAUUUUGAAGAUCUUGGCCUAGCAAGAUGGCAGCGGGUUUUAAAAUGGGAUUCCCACGAAGUUAACACUUUUUCAGAUGAAAAAAUGCUGGGCACACAGUGCUGCUGUCUGGUUGCCAUGGUGACCACAGCCUAUUAUCCCGCCUUGUCAUUCAUCAAGAAAGAAUUGCACUUGACAGAGAGAGGAGAAUGCCUGCAGUCUGCAGCAAAAAAAAAAGGGGGGGGCGGUUUUCUUUUCUUCUGAGUAUGUAAAAGGUCUUUAAUGCCCGUUUCGUUACAUGUUUUAUUUAACAUUAUUUAUUACUUGUAACGGCAAUAAUUGAUACCUGUAAAAAUACACCCCCUCCCUUCAAAGUGUUUAAUUUGCAAUUUGCUCGUUUGUCUUGCUUCCCCAUUUUCAAGCUACACCCCCCUUCACUUCCACCUCCGUGAGGGGAACAGCUAAAUGGUCACAUUCUCCAAAGAGAGUGACCAUUGUCCAGGUGCCUCAAAAAGCAAGCCAACCUCACCCCCCCCCCCUUAAUUGUGCCCUGUGCUCAUCAGCUUCUGCUGUCCUCCUCAUUUAGAAAAAUAAUUAGUGCACUUUGGGGAAAACAACAACAACAACAAUUGAACAUAACCUUUGACCAGAGCAGAUCCUCCAAGUGUGCAAUGCCUGUGGACUAAAAUAUUCAAAAAGGAAGGUUUCUGCCCUCCCCCCAAAAUGGAGGUCUUUCCAGGAGAGGGUAGAAUAUAAAACCAGUAAUUGCUCUUUACAAAGUUGGAUCCUAACCAAACUCAUUCUUCAAAGGCAGGAAAAGGUAAUUACUUGUUAUUUGGCCAUUCCUCAUCUUUGCCAUCUGAAUUAACCCAAAUUAAUUCUGAAAAUAUGUGGCCUAAUACCUUUUGUAAAUGAAUACAUUUGUAGGUUUAAACACCUUGUCUUUUUCUUUUACGCUCCCCCCCCCUUUUCUUUCUUUCUUUCUUCCUUGUUAUUAAGAACCUGGGAUUAUUUCCCUGUUAAUUGUUGGGUUGUUAAACUAUCUGUAUCUGGUUGGGUCAUUGUAAAAGCCUGUGCUCUACAGAACUGCCUGGUACCAGCUGAUUUCCUUGUUAAUGGGGAGAAUGUAUAGUAAAAAAAGUUUUAUUGGCUGGGUGGGAUUUUAAGUUGAGGUCCUCUUAGCUUGGUUUUUAAAUCUGUUGAAUCUUUUGUCCUGGAGAUCACAGGAAAGAUGGUAGAAGCACAGAUGCACCUGAAUUGCUGA